rnacentral:rRNA from 1 species
UACGUAGGGUGCGAGCGUUGUCCGGAAUUAUUGGGCGUAAAGGGCUCGUAGGCGGUUUGUCGCGUCGGGAGUGAAAACACUGGGCUUAACUCAGUGCUUGCUUCCGAUACGGGCAGACUAGAGGUAUGCAGGGGAGAACGGAAUUCCUGGUGUAGCGGUGAAAUGCGCAGAUAUCAGGAGGAACACCGGUGGCGAAGGCGGUUCUCUGGGCAUUACCCGAUGCGCUGAGGAGCGAAAGUGUGGGGAGCGAACAGG